UGAGGAAUAUUGGACAAUGAGCGCAAGCCUGAUCCAGCCAUGCCGCGUGCAGGAAGAAGCAUCUAUGGUGUGUAAACUGCUUUUGUACGGGAAGAAACACUCCUACGUGUAGGAGCUUGACGGUACCGUAAGAAUAAGGAUCGGCUAACUCCGUGCCAGCAGCCGCGGUAAUACGGAGGAUCCAAGCGUUAUCCGGAAUCAUUGGGUUUAAAGGGUCCGUAGGCGGUUUAGUAAGUCAGUGGUGAAAGCCCAUCGCUCAACGAUGGAACGGCCAUUGAUACUGCUAGACUUGAAUUAUUAGGAAGUAACUAGAAUAUGUAGUGUAGCGGUGAAAUGCUUAGAGAUUACAUGGAAUACCGAUUGCGAAGGCAGGUUACUACCAAUGGAUUGACGCUGAUGGACGAAAGCGUGGGUAGCGAACA
rnacentral:rRNA from 1 species